rnacentral:rRNA from 1 species
GACGAACCGAGCGAACGUUGUUCGGAAUCACUGGGCUUAAAGGGCGCGUAGGCGGGUGCUCAAGUCCGUGGUGAAUCCUCCGGCUCAACCGGAGAACUGCCUCGGAUACUGGGUGCCUCGAGGGUGGUAGGGGUAUGCGGAACUAUCGGUGGAGCGGUGAAAUGCGUUGAUAUCGAUAAGGAACUCCGGUGGCGAAGGCGGCAUACUGGACCACCUCUGACGCUGAGGCGCGAAAGCCAGGGGAGGCAAAACGGG